GGGGGCCACCCUGUUGUUUUCCAGGGGAUUUUUACGCACCGCGAAAAAAAAAAAGAGAGUCGAGAAGACGCCGCAGAGAUGAGUGUUGCGUGGUGUGACAUGCUCUUGAAGGAUCUCCUCUCCUGAUACAGAGGGCACACACAAAGAAAACAAAAAACAGGGCUGCCCCAUGAUAUUUCCCCAAAGAAGAUCGCAAAGGUGGAGCGAUUAGAGAAGGGCUGAUGACGGGACCAUUAAUCCUUUCAGUGCACCAGAAGCACCAAGGGGUAUUAGAAACGUUUGGAUGGAAAUCGGCCGAGGGCUUAGAACUGUUUUUGGUUUUGUAUGAAACUGGUGAUUAGUUGUUGUGGCACAUCUGCAAGGAUUUGGGCCUUUUUUUUCUUCUUUUCCCACUGAAGAUUUUAUUAAGGAGUAAAUUUGCCUCUCUCUCUCUCUCUCUCUCUCUCGCUCUCUCUUUUUUUUUCUUCUUCUUCUUCUUCUUCCCACCGAAAGGCUGUGUAUGGUAUUAGAGGUUCCCCGGUGUGAAUUUCCCGAAACUCAUCCCGAUCUUCUUCUUUUUUCCCCCCCCCCCUUUUCCAGUAUUCUUAAAUCUAAAUGGAAUUAGUUGAGACUGAAGCCGUUUGUGAAAGGAACAGACAUGGUACAUGGGCACGGCUUCCAUCACGUUGUUGCAAGUCUUCUCAUACUUGGGUUGUCUGGGGCAACAAAGAAGGAUACAGCAGUAAAAAACAAUUCGGGAGUGAAGCCUGCGGGUCAAUGUGGAACGUGGGUGAAAGAAUCAGAAGGAGGGCUCUUCACUUCUCCCAACUACCCAAACAAAUACCCCCCAGACAUAGAGUGUGUUUACAUCCUUGAAGCGCCCCCAAGGCAGUGUAUCGAUCUACAUUUUGAGGAGAAUUACUCGAUCGAGUCCUCUUGGGAAUGUAAAUUUGACAACAUCGAGGUUCGGGAUGGACCGUUUGGCUUCUCGCCAAUGCUCGGACGCUACUGUGGUCAGCACAACCCGCCUGACAUCAGGAGUAGCGGCCGAUACCUGUGGAUAAAAUUUGUCACCGACGGUGAACUGGAAGCGGUGGGAUUUUCAGCAAGUUACAACUUCACUGCAGAUCCGGACUUUGCAGACUUGGGAGUACCUCCACCUCUGCCCUCCUGUCAGUAUGACAUGGUUGGUCCAGAAGGUAUCGUUGAGUCUCAUCAGAUCACCAGAGACGGGAAGGCUGGCGCUGCCGAGGCCGUCGACUGUAAAUGGUACAUCCGCGCUCCGCCGCGCUCCAAGAUCUACCUGCGUUUCCUCGACUACGAGAUGGCCAAUUCCAACGAAUGCAAGCGCAACUUUGUGGCAGUGUAUGACGGCGGCAGCUCGGUGGAAGACCUCAAGAGCAAGUUCUGCUCCACGGUGGCCAAUGACAUCAUGCUGGUUUCCACACUGGGCGUCAUCCGCAUGUGGGCGGACGAGGCCAGUCGCAAGAGUCGCUUCCGCAUCCUUUUCACAACCUACCAAGAACCUCCUUGCGAUGCGGAUGCCUUCUUCUGUCACAGCAACAUGUGCAUAAACUACACACUGGUGUGCAAUGGCAUGCAAAACUGUGUCUACCCCUGGGAUGAGAACCAAUGUAAAGAGAAAAGGAAGACCAACAUCCUGGACAACCUGAACAACACAAACGGCACCAUCAUCGGCGUCACCUGUUGCAUCGUCCUCAUCCUCCUCAUCGUCUCCGUCAUCGUCCAGAUCAAGCAGCCCCGUAAAAAGUACAUCUUUCGGCGCGAGGACUUUGACCCCACCAUGUUCCAGGAGGUGUUUGAGCCGCCCCACUACGAGCUGUGCACUUUGCGGAGUGCCACCGCAGCCGCGGCGGCGUCAGCGGACUUAGUCGACCUGGCGGAAGACUUUGAGAACUACCACGCCCUUCGCCGUGCCUCCUCGCGCUGCAUCCACGAUCACCACUGUGGGUCCACCUCCAACCCUGGCUCCGCCCACAUAUCCCAGCUGUCGCUCAGUGGACGAGAGAGCCGCGGCAACAUGUGCGCCCGUGACGGAGGGGCCGCCACCCUGCUCACAGACCUCCCGCAGCCGUCCAUGGCGGUGCGGCCCUUGCUGCCGGCCACGGCGAACCGCAGGAGCAUCUUGGUCAUGAAGCACAGCUACUCGCAGGAGGCGGCGGACAAUGGAUGUGACCUGGACGACGACCUGGACGAAGUUCCCACCACCAGCCACCGGCUUUCACGCCAUGAAAAGGCAGUACAGCGGUUCUGCCUCAUUGGCUCUUUGAGCAAACAUGAAUCAGAGUACAACACAACUAGGGUCUAAGAGACAAUCUCAAGGUAAGCACCCUUAUCCAACAAUCAACAUCUCUAUAUGUUGUUGUGUAGUCAUCAUUCGCCCAGUCAGUAUAUACUUUUAUGUAAGUUGUUUAGUUUCUUUUUUUCCUUUUCUGUGAUUUUUGCACAAGUUUAUAUUUUUGUAUUAUUUCUGUUUUUUUAAUUGCUCUUUUUUUCACCAAGAUGGUUUUCUUGCUUGCGGCCAUCUUGCCCUCCCAGUGAGUUUGUUUGAAGUGUUUGUGAUGCUCAAAGUUUACUGUAUGUCCUCUUUGCCCGGGGACAUACAAUAUAUCACUUAUUGUGGAUAUUCAUCAGCAUGGACUUUUUCCGGCAUCCUUCGAUGCCGCUGUUGUCAAUUCAUAUGUCUAACCUCUUUUUCUCCCAGAUGACCAGUAGCAAAUCAUUUAUACCAACAACGUAAAAGUAGAAGCACAGAUUUGAAAGCAAACACAAAUCCCAGAUGUUUUACAUUGCGUCAGCGGGACGAUUUUUGCACACGUUAAAGAAAGCACACUGAGAUCAUUUGAGUAUCUCAUUAAUGUCUUUGUAAUUUACAAAUCUUUGCUAAUCACACAAUUACACAGACUUCCUCUAUUGUGCAUGAUUUAAGUCACUUGUGGUAUUUGAUUUUGUUUGUUUUUGUUUAUUGUGAAGCAUAAUGUGUGUGUGUAACACGUCAUGUGCAUGCUCCACAUCUGUGCUCUCAUGAAGUUACUAUAAGCAUAAUCUAAUAAAUUGAUAUAAUGAAUUAGCUUGCAUGAAUUGAUGACACAAAGAACUGACAAGAUCCUUUAAAUUCAGACAAAAGAAAAAAAAAGUCCUACUUGCAGCUUCAUGCCUGCAUAUGACAGAGCAGUCACAUAAAGUGCUACCCAUUGUUCCGUGUUUUAGUGUGACAAGUGUGCUGACCUUCUGUGUGUGUGUGUGUGUGUGUGUGUGUGUGUCUGCUCAUGUUCUACAUUGUGUCGCAUUGUCUCCAUCAUGUAGACUUCUUGAGAAUAGUGAAAUCCUGGAUCAGUACGAACGGGCGUCACUGACAUAUGAAAAAGCGGAGCGGAGAUUUACACCAGCAUGAUGAUGCUGAUGAUGAUGAAGGGACACUUUGGCAAAAGGAUACUGAAUAUGUGUUCACGCGCAAAGAGGAACACAAAGGACAGCUGCGACGCUGUUGAGUGGGGAAAGUUUUGGAAAUGGAUCAGCGCUGUGCUCUAUGUACUGUAGGCAGUCCAGAUUUUUUUCAUGUCUCACUGGAAAGAUAUGGACCUUUACAAUGAACAUGAUUAUUCUUUAUUGAACUUUAAAUUUGGGACGUUCGUCAGACACAUCUGUCUUUGUCAUAGAUUCCUCGCUGAUAACAACAUUUUAUGUGAUUAAACAUCUUCAUGUUCAUUUUUAAGCAUGUAUUUUUCAAAAUUAGUGGCACACAUAUUAUGAUUUUAACAGCAAACUUUAGAUGCAUGCAGUUUGUCAAUUUUGGGAAGAUUUAAGUUAUUAGUGAAAAUUAGAAUCAUACUCAAUUAAUUACUGACUUAAUUAGAUUUGAUAGUGUUGGAAUAACCAGAAGCAGUUUAAUUUAAGUAACUUGGUCCAGUUGUAUGGCUUGUGCAUGCUUCUUUUAUAUCCAUUUAAACAUUAACAUACUAACAAUAAUCCACUGAUACAUGAGUCAUAUAAGCAUUAGAAGUGGUCAAAAAAGCCAUCUUUACAAUUGAUUAAUUGCAUUGCAAGCAGUUUCUUAGCUAAAUCCUUAGAUAUAGUGAAUUGCACAAAUAAAUAUGACCAUUUUCAUCUUCACUCAAAAACCCUUUUUAAUAUGUUGACUAACUUUCUGACAAGCAGCUUACCUUUGGCAAAGAAUACGUUUUUGUUUCUUUGUAGUUUUUAUUUUUGCAAACAUAUUUACUUUGUUUAUCUUUUAUCUCUCUCUUUACUGUUAGAGCUUAAAAUCUUUGUAUUAAACAGACUUUUAUACUAGGGCAAAUUGAACGGACGACACUUUUUACAGUUACUCAAACUAUCUUUCAGGGCAGAUUUUCUUGAUGCUUUGUAAAAUAAAUAACAAUAAAUCUUCACAUUAUUCUUUUUCUUUGUUUGAUUGGCGUUUGGUCAGUCCCUUAAGUGUGUUCCUCAGACUGUCGGCAAGUGUCAUCCAUGUCUGCCAGUCAUGUUUUUAGAUUUUGUUGUGGUUGAUUUGUUUUAGAGGAAGACCCGAACCAAACCAAAUAGGAUUAGAUUCAUCAAGAUAGGACAAUGAAACAAAUUCUAGAGGGUUCAAAUAAUCCCAGGUAAUCACCGGUAUCUGACAGACGAGUUAAUUGACAUUUUCUGUUUGUCUUAAUGACAAUGUAUUUAGAAUUAGCUUCCCUCUCUAUGAACAAACGAUGUUGGUUUGUUUUAAAUACCCUGGUAUAUGUGGAAAAGUUACAAACCUAGAUCAGCUCUGAGCACAGUGACAUAACAACAUGUGAUUCAUACACCCUUGCAUAUGGCACGUUCAUUUUUCUUAUGCUCCGUCAUUGUCCAAAUACCUAUUUUUUUAAUUGUUACUGUGUAAAUGUUACAGUAUUUUCCAUCAUGUGCACAUUUUUUGCUGUAUUCAGUGUAAAGUAUUUUAUCCACUAUAUCCAUACUUUCCACUUUCUGGUCCUUCCAUUAACACAAAGUCAUGAACAGGCUCAUGUUCUGGCAGAUGCUGAAUAAAAUAUUGUUCGUUUUUCUUUUCUGCACUUUUCUUUGUUGUUCUGUGUGUUGUCUCUGUUUCACUGUUGUCAACACUUCUCUUACAGAGAGUAAAAAAAAAUUCAGAACAACUCACACAUAUACAUAUUUUAAUUCCUAUUUCUCUAACUCUGUUUCUCACACUCAGUGACUCUCUCUCUCACACACGCGCACGCACACACACACACACACACACACACAGUCACAACUCACAACUCAUCUGCCACUAUAUAGAUGGAGGAAGACACCUCAGUAAUUAAAUACAUCAGACAGAUGAAUCAUUCCUCAGCAUCUUGCCAAGUCUGACAGCAUUUCGGCGCUAAGGUUUCUCACCUUUCGGCAUCUUGACUGAACUGUUGCCCCCGAGCAACGUUACCAAUGUAGAAUGUUGUGAUGAGAACAUGAAAAAAAUAAAAUAAAAUAAAGGUUUGUGGUGUAUUGCAUCAAGUUUUAUGUCUUUGCUUUUGGACCACAGAGAUGCAUUUUCCCUACCGGUGCUCCACGACCGACUGAAAUUUACAAGCCAUGGGACACUGAUUAUUUCAGAUACGUGAAUAUUUUUUUAAUUUUUUUUUUUGGAAGGGGGGAGAAAUGACAAUACCUUUAACGUAAAAGUAUUCAUGAAGAAAACAACAAAAUUCAGGGUUUUUCCCAAUCAUUUUCAUGUAACCAAUAAAAUAUGAAAUUGCAUAUUUCAGCUGCUGAAUUGAAAUGAGAUUUCUUAUUUUGAUGUCAUGCCGGGUUGUUUUUAAAGGUUUAAUUGAGAGCCCUGUUGAGAAGACAACAGAACAGGAUGUAUGAAAUGAAGCGAUGUGAAACUUCACAAACGGGUGCAAAAAUGAUUCCACUGACCCAUCGACUAACCUUCAUUCAUUCCCAUGUUUACUGAUGUCUGAACAUUGCUUAUGUUUUUUGUCUUUGUCCUUGUCAAAUUUGAUUGCAUUGUGGGUUUUUUAAUACAUUUGGCGAUUUAUUUGAUAACACAUUAGGGAGAGAAAAUGCUGGACAGAAUGUUUUCAAUAAACUAAUGUUUACUGA